UCCACUAUGCGGCUCUGCAGCUCGCUCGUGUAUGGAGGGGCUAGUCGUAAGGUGUUUGGCUGAAUGCGCAGCACAAGGAUGCGAAGGUGGCGCCCCUGACGAAGGAGGAGGUUGGCCGGGCGACCUGGAUGCUGCUCCACACCAUCGCCGUGCAGCGGCACAAAUCCUCACCUGCCCGUCGAUUUGGUGCUAGCAGCGGCGCAAAUCCUCACCUGGCCGUCGAUUCGCCGCCAUUGUGAGGGUAGUGCACGAGGAGCAAAAUUCCAUGUUGGCAGGAGGAGAGCAGGGAAGAGCAAAAUCUCACCUUUCUUUUUCUGGCGGAGAUGAGGCGGCGCCUUCAUAGUCCAGGAACUGCUCUACAACGGCAACUAUGUGGUCGAUGAGCUUGAUCACUACAGGCUCCAGCAGAAGCUCCAACCA